rnacentral:lncRNA from 1 species
CAUUUUUUAUCAACCUUAAGGUGGCAGGUAUUAAAAUUAUUUUGGAUUCAACCGAACAUAGUAUGUGUAUUCACGUUCAAACACUAUUUUAAGAAGGGUUAGCUAGCUGAUGCAUUUCAUACCUAAAUGCAUGUGCACAUUUGGAAAAUGUUAACUAGCAUACUUGCCCACCCAAAUAAGAUAAAAAAAAUGAAAGUGAAAUAAGAAAG